UUGCUCUCUUCAGCACAUAUACUAAAACUGAAAUGAUACCGAGAAGAUUAGCAUGGCCCCUAAACAAGAAUGACACGCAAAUUUGUGAAGCAUUCCAUAUUUUU
rnacentral:snRNA from 1 species